UGGGGAAUAUUGCACAAUGGGCGAAAGCCUGAUGCAGCAACGCCGCGUGAGUGAUGAAGGUCUUCGGAUUGUAAAGCUCUGUCUUUUGGGACGAUAAUGACGGUACCAAAGGAGGAAGCCACGGCUAACUACGUGCCAGCAGCCGCGGUAAUACGUAGGUGGUGAGCGUUGUCCGGAUUUACUGGGCGUAAAGGGUGCGUAGGCGGAUGUUUAAGUGAGAUGUGAAAUACCCGGGCUUAACUUGGGUGCUGCAUUUCAAACUGGAUAUCUAGAGUGCAGGAGAGGAGAAUGGAAUUCCUAGUGUAGCGGUGAAAUGCGUAGAGAUUAGGAAGAACACCAGUGGCGAAGGCGAUUCUCUGGACUGUAACUGACGCUGAGGCACGAAAGCGUGGGUAGCAAACAGGAUUAGAUACCCUGGUAGUCCACGCCGUAAACGAUGAGUACUAGGUGUAGGAGGUAUCGACCCCUUCUGUGCCGCAGUAAACACAUUAAGUACUCCGCCUGGGAAGUACGAUCGCAAGAUU
rnacentral:rRNA from 1 species